rnacentral:rRNA from 1 species
UAAGACGAACCGUGCGAACGUUGUUCGGAAUCACUGGGCAUAAAGGGCGCGUAGGCGGCUUAUCAAGUCAGGGGUGAAAUCCGGCAGCUCAACUGUCGAAGUGCCUUUGAUACUGAUGAGCUCGAGGGAGGUAGGGGUCUGUGGAACUUCCGGUGGAGCGGUGAAAUGCGUUGAUAUCGGAAGGAACGCCGGUGGCGAAAGCGACGGACUGGACCUCUUCUGACGCUGAGGCGCGAAAGCCAGGGGAGCAAACGGGAUUAGAUACCCCGGUAGUCCUGGCCCUAAACGAUGGGUACUAGAUAGUGGACUUGACAUGGGUUCACUGUCGAAGCAAAUGUGUUAAGUACCCCGCCUGGGGAGUAUGGUCGCAAGGCUG